GAUGAACGCUGGCGGCGUGCCUAAUACAUGCAAGUCGAGCGAACAGAUGAGGAGCUUGCUCCUCUGCCGUUAGCGGCGGACGGGUGAGUAACACGUGGAUAACCUACCUAUAAGACUGGGAUAACUUCGGGAAACCGGAGCUAAUACCGGAUAAUAUAUUGAACCGCAUGGUUCAAUAGUGAAAGACGGUUUUGCUGUCACUUAUAGAUGGAUCCGCGUCGCAUUAGCUAGUUGGUAAGGUAACGGCUUACCAAGGCAACGAUGCGUAGCCGACCUGAGAGGGUGAUCGGCCACACUGGAACUGAGACACGGUCCAGACUCCUACGGGAGGCAGCAGUAGGGAAUCUUCCGCAAUGGGCGAAAGCCUGACGGAGCAACGCCGCGUGAGUGAUGAAGGUCUUCGGAUCGUAAAACUCUGUUAUUAGGGAAGAACAAAUGUGUAAGUAACUAUGCACGUCUUGACGGUACCUAAUCAGAAAGCCACGGCUAACUACGUG
rnacentral:rRNA from 1 species